rnacentral:lncRNA from 1 species
AGGAACGCCCUCCAUCAAAGAGACGCGGGUCGGUUGCCAGGCUACCGUGAGAAAAGAGAACUCCCAGGGACAAUGCGACCUUCCCCCAGGGUCCAGGGGCUGGGCUUGCUCGGUACCGAAGUGCGUGGCGGACUGCAGGGCUCCAGCUCCCGGACGGGAAGGCACAGCCUCGCCGGGGCAAGCCAGAGCUGCCACCGAGGAACAAGCCCAAUGGGACUGGCAGCGAGGAAGGGAAAGGUCACCCAGAGUCAGCAGAACAAUAUGGAUCCUAUUACUGCUUCUGGGAAAAACAAUUGGUUCCAGGAGGUCAUGGCAAGCAGAGAUGCCCAAAGUGGCAUUUACUCCCUGCUUAUUUGGCCCACUAGGUAAGAAGUAGGGCUCUUCUUUGGCUGGCUCCUAAAAAACCUAACUAUGCCAGGCAAAGAAUGGUGGUCCUCUGCCAGCUAAUUCCUGGCUACUACUUGCUGUCUUUGGCUUCAGAUACUUCCUAUUUCUCCCCAGGCCACUGUACCUCUGAACUAGCAAAGUAUGAUUACAGUAAAUCUCAUCUUUUCAUAUUUAUGUGUUUUUAUGCUAGAAAGGUUUGAACAGAGACUUAUAUAGUCUCUGACAGUUCCCUAUCAGCUUCUAAUUGUAGAUAAUAAAAGAAUUUCCUGUGCCUCA